UACGGGGGGGGUAAGCGUUGUUCGGAAUUACUGGGCGUAAAGGGCUCGUAGGCGGCCAACUAAGUCAGACGUGAAAUCCCUCAGCUUAACUGGGGAACUGCGUCUGAUACUGGAUGGCUUGGAUUCGGGAGAGGAAUGCGGAAUUCCAGGUGUAGCGGUGAAAUGCUUAGAUAUCGGGAGGAACACCAGUGGCGAAGGCGGUACGCUGGGCCGGAACUGACGCUGAAGAACGAAAGCGUGGGUAGCAAACAGG
rnacentral:rRNA from 1 species